rnacentral:rRNA from 1 species
AUUGAACGCUGGCGGCAGGCCUAACACAUGCAAGUCGAACGGUAACAGGAAGAAGCUUGCUUCUUUGCUGACGAGUGGCGGACGGGUGAGUAAUGUCUGGGAAACUGCCUGAUGGAGGGGGAUAACUACUGGAAACGGUAGCUAAUACCGCAUAACGUCGCAAGACCAAAGAGGGGGACCUUCGGGCCUCUUGCCAUCGGAUGUGCCCAGAUGGGCUUAGCUGGUAGGUGGGGUAACGGCUCACCUAGGCGACGAUCCCUAGCUGGUCUGAGAGGAUGACCAGCCACACUGGAACUGAGACACGGUCCAGACUCCUACGGGAGGCAGCAGUGGGGAAUAUUGCACAAUGGGCGCAAGCCUGAUGCAGCCAUGCCGCGUGUAUGAAGAAGGCCUUCGGGUUGUAAAGUACUUUCAGCGGGGAGGAAGGGAGUAAAGUUAAUACCUUGGCUCAUUGACGUUACCCGCAGAAGAAGCACCGGCUAACUCCGUG